rnacentral:rRNA from 1 species
ACGCGUACCCAUACCGAACACGAACGUUAAGCCUUCCAGCGUCGAUGGUACUUGGACCGAAGGGUCCUGGGAGAGUAGAACGUCGCCAAGC